UGAAUACCAAGAAAAGUCAGGAAAACUGAGUAAACUAAGGAAGACAUUACAGAAUAUGAAUGAGAAAUUCAACAAUAAGAUACAGAUAUUAAAAAAAAACUGAAAAGAAAUCUUGGAAACAAAAGGUACAGUGAGUCAAAUAAAAAAUACAGCUGAAAUUAAAUCCUUUUAAUGUAUUAGAGCAGGUAGUAGAUACUCAAACCUUAGAGAUAAUGUCAUCAUUCAGACAGUAUUUAAGAAAAAAAUGAAACUACAAUAACAAAAUACAAUAUCUCUAGGACAUUAUGAGAGAAAUUGAAGGCCCAUAGACAUUGAGUAAUGAGAAAAAAUGUAGGACUACCAGGUGCCUGAGAGUGACCAUAGGCAUCAGCACCCACAUAAAACUUUCAUCCAGUCACCUGAGCAGAAGUCCCAGAUGCAGCUCCCACACAGGACACCUGACAGCUACCCAAACACUGGAUCUGAAGCCACCACCCCUGUGUGGACCCCCAAGUUACUUCCAUCUUGGGAUUCUGCAGCAACAGAGAUAGUCCCCUAUGCAUCAUAGCCUGCCUGCACAAGGGAAUGUCACCUAGGCUCUGAAGAAAGCCACAGCCACACACUGCAUGCCACAUAUCCAGUCUCUAAACUCAUUGUCCAAAACCAUUGCCUUUCUCCCCCCCGCCACCCAACCCAACACCCCAUGGCUAAAAGCAAAUGCCUCAAUUUUGGGUCACCUUCAUGAGCAUCUUUAGUGGGGGCAACUCCAGCUAGCCAGGUUCUCAGUUUCUAACUCCUCCUGCUCCCCAGCAGAUGCUUACCUGGCAUAGUGACUGCCCAACACAAAGCAGCUCUUAGCAGGGCAGGUGCACAGGAUGCUCAAAGCCCCAGAAAGAAAUGUCCUGUAUUAGGAAGCAGUAAUGGAGAGGGUGAGUGUGAUACGUUUAGAGAUAAAGAGACUAGGAACUGGGAGGCCUUCAGGUGAGAUAAGGAAAUAAGACCAGGUCCUCACAUCACAGGAGCAGGCCCCACAAGAGAUCCUUCUGGUGCAGUCUCCCCUUGGGGACAAGUGGGUGUCACAUCCCACUUCCAGGUGCCCUACACCCAGGACCAACUCAACCUCCCCUGGUUACCUUCACCAUCCUGAAGGUGGAGAUACCAGCUAUCAACAGAGAAACCCACCUAUUUGGAUGAAAAGGGAAACAGGAAAGAUACUGAUCCCCAACCAACACAAUCUGUAUUCCUUCCUUCAAAUUUUUUUUUCAUUCUUCUCUCUCUCUUCUCCUGCUCUCAUAUCUUCCACAUAUGUGAAACCAAGUUCUUUGCAUGAAUUAGGAUAUGAAAAAUGAAGGGCUGGAGAUGUGGCUCAAGUGGUAGCGCGCUUGCCUGGCAUAUGUGCGGCCCGGGAUCGAUCCUCAGCAUUACAUACAACAAAGAUGUUGUGUCCCCCGAAAACUAAAAAAUAAAUAUUAAAAAAAGGAUAUGAAAAAUGAGAUUACUGAAUAGUAGGAUAUUACAGUUAUGUUGUAUAUUCUUUUCUUUUUCUUUUUCUGCAGUUUUUACGAUUUUAACAUUUUUUAUAUUUCUUAAUAUUUAUGUGUGUUUGUUUCAUGUACUCUACUGUCUUCCCAUUUACUUGUCUACCAAAAAUUAUUUUCCCUCUACUCACCUGCUACUAACUUCUUACUUAGAUUUCUCUUUCACACUUCCUAAGAUAUAAUAACUCUAUAUCCUCACUUUAUACUUCCUCAGCAUAUCAUCUUACGCCUCACCUCCAGUUCUUUUUCCACCAUCAGAAUCUGUAAACCCUUUUACAAAUCUACUGAUUAUAUCAUAAAUAAUAAUUGAAUUCACCAUUUCUGUAAAUUAUGACCAAACUGUAAACAUCUAUUGCAGCUAUUUUUUUUUGCUUGGUAUAUUGCUUAUGUUGGUAUCUGUUAACGUUGUACUACCCAUCAAAGGAGAGGUAUUAAAAUCCUACAGGGGCACUAUAAGAUUAUAAGGUAAAAUGGUAAUGCCUUAGAUCCACAAUGCUAGAAGCGAAGACACACAAGCAACAUGAAAACACAAAGGAAGAAAAUGCCUCAAACAAACCAAGAUACCACAUUAUUAGAAUCCAUGGCCAAUACAGCAGAAGAAAUUACAGAUAAGGAGUUCAGGAUGUACAUAAUUAUAAUAUUCUGUGAAUUAAAGGAUGAUAUAAGAGAGCAAAUACAGCGAGCAAAAGAUCAUUUUGACAAAGAACUACAUAAGCAAAUACAGGAAGCAAAAAGAUCACUUCAAUAGGGAGACAGAGGUUCUAAAUGAAAACCAAACAGAAAUCCUUGAAAUGAAAGAAAUAAUAAACCAAAUUAAAAGUUCAAUUGAAAGCAUCACCAUCAGAUUAGACCACUUGGAAGACAGGACCUCAGACAAUGAAGAAAAAUAUGUAAUCUUGAAAAGAAUGUAGACCACACAGUGAAAAUGGUAAGAAACCAUGAGCAGAACAUUCAAGAAACAUGAGAUAGCAAAAAAGACCAAAUGUAAGAGUUAUUGAUAAAGAGGGAGGCAUAGAGUUUUAAACCAAAGGAAUGGACAAUCUACUCAAUGAAAUAAUAGCAGAAAAUUUUCCAAGCAUGAAGAACAAAGUGAAAAACCAAAAUCAAGUGGCUUACAGAAUGCCAAAUGUACAAAAUCAUAACAGAUCUACACCAAGGCACAUUAUAGUGAAAAUGCCUAACAUACAGCAUAAGGAGAGAAUAAUAAAAACCAUGAGAGAAAGAUAUCAGAUUACAUAUUGGAAAAACUAAUUAGGAUAUCUGCAGAUUUUUCAACCCAGACCCUGAAAGCUAGAAGAUCCUGGAACAAUAUAUAUCAAGCCUUGAAAGAAAAUGUAUGCGAACCAAGAAUCUUGUAUUCAGAAAAUUUAAGCUUUAGAUUUGAUGAUGAAACAAAAACCUUCCAUGA
rnacentral:lncRNA from 1 species